GAGAUCUAUCUUCUAUAGAAUUUUAAAUUUUUAUAAUUAUUUUUAUUAGUCAUAUUUAUUUUUGGAGAUCUAAAUCUAUUUGAACUAGGAGAGAAAUCUAAUCUGAAUUAUGCAAGAGAGGAUCUCACUACUAUUAUAAAUAAGAAAUAUGUACCUUAGUUUUUGAGGUGUGGAUCAUCAAUAAAAGAAAAGGAGACGUAAAUUCUACUUUUGAAUUUUUUUAUCUUUUUCUAAUUUUUUGUUGAGAGAUUUGAGUUGUGCAGAUUGAAGAAAUUCUUUCUUCUUUACAAUCGGAUCAAGUUAGUAUCAUAGCCAAGUUUCUCUACAUCUACAGAGGCAAGUUGG
rnacentral:lncRNA from 1 species